rnacentral:rRNA from 1 species
AGUGAACGCUGGCGGUAGGCCUAACACAUGCAAGUCGAACGGCAGCACAGUAAGAGCUUGCUCUUACGGGUGGCGAGUGGCGGACGGGUGAGGAAUACAUCGGAAUCUACUUUUUCGUGGGGGAUAACGUAGGGAAACUUACGCUAAUACCGCAUACGACCUACGGGUGAAAGCAGGGGAUCUUCGGACCUUGCGCGAUUGAAUGAGCCGAUGUCGGAUUAGCUAGUUGGCGGGGUAAAGGCCCACCAAGGCGACGUUCCGUAGCUGGUCUGAGAGGAUGAUCAGCCACACUGGAACUGAGACACGGUCCAGACUCCUACGGGAGGCAGCAGUGGGGAAUAUUGGACAAUGGGCGCAAGCCUGAUCCAGCCAUACCGCGUGGGUGAAGAAGGCCUUCGGGUUGUGAAGCCCUUUUGUUGGGAAAGAAAAGCAGCAGGUUAAUACCCCGCUGUUCUGACGGUACCCAAAGAAUAAGCUCCGGCUAACUUCGUG